rnacentral:misc_RNA from 1 species
GAAAUGCGAUACGUAAUGUGAAUUGCAGAAUCCAGUGAAUCAUCAAAUUUUCGAACGCAAAUUGCGCUUUCGGGUUCUCCCGGGAGCAUGCCUGCUUGAGUGCCAGUAAAAACACACAUCAACACAUAUGUAUGUAUGUAUGUGUUGGAAUCUCUGAGCAUCCAAAAUAACGUAAUAGUAAUUUGGUUGCUUAAAGUGGAUAGUUAAUAUAUUAUUGUUGUAAACACAUACUACCAGUUCACUGUAUAUAUUUGUAUGUGUGUUGUAAAUCCUUAUUUAUAUAGGAUAUCGCACGCUCAUACUAUAUAUACACAGCAGCAGUAGUAUAUACAAACAACUCCAUUCAUUGGCCUCAAGUCAGGUAAGAAGACCCGCUGAAUUUAA